ensembl:scaRNA small Cajal body-specific RNA 6
GGUCUGUGAUGAGAAGUGAACGGUCUGAUCGCCCAAGUCCUUUCCCAUUGUCCUGCCUGCUCCCGGCAGCUCCUGCUCUACUCCCAGCAUGCUCUAGUCACGCAUCGUUGGUCUCAGGGGCUACUGACAUGGUGGAUGACCUCACAUCCUGUGUUCUAAGAGACUUUGGCGUCACAGGGAAGAUGGACAUCCAACAUGACCAAUCACCAAGGAGUCUUAUGGGCUGGGAUUGUGAUAGGCCGAUGAUUUCAAGUUUUCAAGCUGAGACC